rnacentral:rRNA from 1 species
UACAGAGGGUGCAAGCGUUAUCCGGAAUCACUGGGUUUAAAGGGUGCGUAGGCGGGUUAAUAAGUCAGAGGUGAAAGGUAGUCGCUUAACGAUUAAAUUGCCUUUGAUACUGUUAGUCUUGAAUCAAGAUGAGGUUGGCGGAAUGAGACAUGUAGCGGUGAAAUGCAUAGAUAUGUCUUAGAACACCGAUUGCGAAGGCAGCUGACUGGGCUUUGAUUGACGCUGAGGCACGAAAGCGUGGGGAUCAAACAGG